rnacentral:rRNA from 1 species
GCAGGGGUGUGGCAAUACACUCGCUGGCGACCGGCAAACGGGUGCGGAACACGUACGCAAUCUACCCAAAACUGGUGAAUAGCCCUCCGAAAGGAGGAUUAAUACACCGUAACCUAUUGAAGUGGCGUCACUUUAUUAGUAUAGCUCCGGCGGUUUUGGAUGAGCGUGCGGCUGAUUAGGUAGUUGGCGGGGUAACGGCCCACCAAGCCUGCGAUCAGUAACUGGUGUGAGAGCACGACCAGUCACACGGGCACUGAGACACGGGCCCGACUCCUACGGGAGGCAGCAGUAAGGAAUAUUGGUCAAUGGACGCAAGUCUGAACCAGCCAUGCCGCGUGGAGGAUGAAGGCCCUCUGGGUUGUAAACUUCUUUUAUCUGGGACGAAACCCUCAUAUUCUUAUGAGACUGACGGUACCAGAGGAAUAAGCACCGGCUAACUCCGUGCCAGCAGCCGCGGUAAUACGGAGGGUGCAAGCGUUAUCCGGAUUCACUGGGUUUAAAGGGUGCGUAGGAGGGCAGGUAAGUCAGUGGUGAAAUCUCCAAGCUUAACUUGGAAACUGCCGUUGAUACUAUCUGUCUUGAAUGUUGUGGAGGUGAGCGGAAUAUGUCAUGUAGCGGUGAAAUGCUUAGAUAUGACAUAGAACACCAAUUGCGAAGGCAGCUCACUACACAAUUAUUGACUCUGAGGCACGAAAGCGUGGGGAUCAAACAGGAUUAGAUACCCUGGUAGUCCACGCCCUAAACUAUGGAUACUCGACAUACGCGAUAUACAGUGUGUGUCUGAGCGAAAGCAUUAAGUAUCCCACCUGGGAAGUACG